UACGUAGGUGGCAAGCGUUGUCCGGAUUUACUGGGCGUAAAGAGCGCGCAGGCGGUCGUUCAAGUCGCGUGUGAAAGCCCCCCGGCUCAACUGGGGAGGGUCACGCGAUACUGAUCGACUCGAAGGCAGGAGAGGGAAGUGGAAUUCCCGGUGUAGUGGUGAAAUGCGUAGAUAUCGGGAGGAACACCCGUGGCGAAGGCGGUUCUCUGGGACGGUACUGGACGCUGAGACGCGAAAGCGUGGGGGAGCGAACAGG
rnacentral:rRNA from 1 species